UUAUUUUUGUACAUUAACAAAAUAUGUUUUUAAUAAAUUGUGGAAUACAUGGCAUUAUACACAAUUUUAUUCGGAAUAAGUAUUUUCAUGAUAGCUUUAGUAAUAGCGAUAAUCAAGAGAAUGUUUUUUCAUUGGAAACAAGAGCAUAAAAUUGAGAGACUGACCACGUUCGCUGUUGAAAGACCAGCUGUAGGUUUGAUAAUCUAUGCAGAAAAAUGCGUCAUCGAACGGCGGCAAUAUGCAGGCGAUGUUACCACCUACGACGUUUUAAGUAAGAGUGAUAUUAGUUUGACAAAACAGAACAUUGAGGCGUAACUUUUCAAUAAAUAUUAACGUUAA